UCAAGAAAUAGAAAUCUAAAUUCCAAACCAAAUAGAAAAUUGAAAUUCACAGAGAACAACAGUAAAUCUUAUCCGAAAGUUAUAAAAUAAUGAUGUGGGGAUAUCUAUAUCUUUUUAAACCUGCAAAUAUAAUUAAAUUAAUUUCAGAUAUAAUCAGAUACAAUGAUCAGAAAACAAAAACAACAGACAAGUUUACCCUAGAGAACAACAAAAUCGAAUGAUGUUAAUCAAAUUACCAGGAGAACAAGUACAAGAAAGGUUGUUAAUCGUGGAACAAAAAAGGAUGUUAAAAGAAAUAAAAAAUAGUUUAAAAGUCAUAAAUCGUCCGAACUCUAAUCAUGGAACAAGAAAGGACGUUAAUUGUCUGAACCGUAGUCAUGGAAAAAUCAAAGAUAAAAUUUCAAAUUCAAAAUCAUUAUUAACCUUAAGGGGAUACUGGCAGGAAUCGAACCGUAGAUGUCGGCGACGUCUUGUUGAUUACGGCCUAGAAAUUAAACAAAAAUAGAAGAAAUAGCAAACCUAUUAGGGCUGAGAUAAACAAAAUAUAAAACAUAAUAAACAAGUAAAACUGAAAGUAAGUUUCAAAGAGAAGAUCUAAACCCCAGAAAGAUCGACUUCAGUGGUCGUCUUCAACUUCAAAUUGUAAAAAAUGAUAGGUUAAAUAUGAAACUAUUUAGGUUGGCGACAGAGAAAAAAAAACCUGAACCAACAAACGAUUUCAUUGUACCUCACAUGAAAACGCAGAGUAGGUGAGACGGUGGAGCUUGGCAGCAAGUAAGGGUGUCGGUAGAAGAACGAGACGAUUCAAGGAGGAAAAAACACGAAGAUGUCGUGAAACAGGAAUCAAGGCUUCAUAAAAGGAAGGUCAAUAGCCCCAAUUAAGUCACACCUCUCAAUAAAACCCACCAAAAAUAAAAACAAAAUCUUAUAAAAAGAGUAAUGUGUAGAUGGAGAACAAACCUACAAACAGUUUGAUUUUCCCAGUUAAUUAACUCACACACCUUCCUUCCUGAUCUUUUUGACAGCAACAACAAAAUCCAUUUCCUGGAGUAUUUUACUCAAUCAUGUAGGCAACAACAACACCUUUCUUCCUGAUCUUUUUGACAGCAACAUCACAACCUAUUUCUUGAAGUAACUCGAUGAUGUAAGCAACAAUAACACGUUCCUUGCUGAUCUUUUCUCAUCUAUCAUGAUUAAGUUGCAGAACAUCAGCAGACAAAUUAAAAAAAAUCUACAACUAAGAACCCUAAUUUUAAAGAAGAAGAAGAUGGUUAAUGAAGUGAUUAUUAUAGCAUUUGAUAGGAAGAGAUGGAGCCAGUAAUUGAAACGGGAAGUAAACAUAACACUUAUCCGAACAUCUGCUCAUCAUUGUCGUCAGUUGAACCACCACCGACACACACCCCAAAAACCACGGGGGGUUCUUGGGGUCGAUGAAUUAAAUGGGGAAGGCUUUGCUUCAAUUGGGGUCGCUGGAAACAGAAGAGAGAUAAAGAUAUAAAUGAAACCCAAAAAUGAAUGUGAUGAAGAGAAAGAAAGCGGUUUAUAGCAAGUGUCUUUUUUGAUGAAAGAAAACCAUUAGUGAAAGUGGUGGUGGUAGAAAACGGUGAAUGACUAAUCACGGAGUGGAAGGUGACUUGGCUUGGGGAUGAAGGUGUGCAAAGAAAAUAGAUGGCCACCUGUCAAACGUGUAGGGCGGUGGAGAAAUAGUGGAAGACUGCUUGCAGAGCGACGGUAGAAGACAGAGGCAAGUAACUUUGGUUCCUCCAAACUUGCAGUCUCAUUGGGGGAGAAGGGCGGUGCAGCAGGCAAAUCGUGAAGCAGACGCGCCCCCAUUUUAAGGGGAUUAAUAAAAGCGCCAAAAAGGAUAUGAAGAAGCAUGAGAUAAGGAUAGGAGGGCAAGCUGGUGAUAACGGAGUGAUGGAAGGGGGAAGGAGGUGCAACCAUCCGAUCUCCAAACUGGUAUCUUGUCGGUUCCUUCCUAAGCCUGAGCUAAGGAUAACGGUCAUCCACUGGAAUUGAACUUGAAUCAGAAGUUUAUGAAGACGAUUGUAAUUGUAGUGAAAAAAGAUUGAAGUUAAACCAGAAAGGAUUAAUAAACGAGAGAAUGGCAAAUCGUAUCCAACAAUCUAACUUCUAAUCUGUGGGUUAAAGGGCGGUGAUAACGGAGGUAACAUCAAC
rnacentral:lncRNA from 1 species